UACGUAGGGUGCAAGCGUUAAUCGGAAUUACUGAGCGUAAAGCGUGCGCAGGCGGUUGUGUAAGUCAGAUGUGAAAUCCCCGGGCUCAACCUGGGAAUUGCAUUUGAGACUGCACGGCUAGAGUGUGUCAGAGGGGGGUAGAAUUCCGCGUGUAGCAGUGAAAUGCGUAGAGAUGUGGAGGAAUACCGAUGGCGAAGGCAGCCCCCUGGGAUAACACUGACGCUCAUGCACGAAAGCGUGGGGAGCAAACAGG
rnacentral:rRNA from 1 species